rnacentral:rRNA from 1 species
AAUGAACGCUGGCGGCAUGCCUUACACAUGCAAGUCGAACGGCAGCAUGACCUCGCGUGCUUGGUUGAUGGCGAGUGGCGCAUGGGUGAGUUAUGCAUCGGAACGUGCCUGUUAGUGGGGGAUAACGUAGCGAAAGUUACGCUAAUACCGCAUAUUCUCUGCGGCGGAAAGCAGGUGACCUUCGGGCCUUGCGCUAGAAGAGCGGCCGAUGUAGGAUUAGCUAGUUGGUGAGGUAAAGGCUCACCAAGGCAACGAUCGGGAGCGGGUCUGAGAGGAUGAUCCGCCACCCUGGGACUGAGACGCGGCCCGGACUACUACGGGAGGCAGCGGUGGGGAAUUUUAGACAAUGGGCGCAAGCGUAGUCCAGCCCUGCCGCGUGAGUGAAAAAGGCCUUGGGGUUGUGAAGCUCAUCCGGCUGGGAAGAAAUCGCACCCUCUAAUACAGGGUGUGGAUGACGGUACCAGCAGAAGAAGCACCGGCUAACUACGUG